rnacentral:rRNA from 1 species
GUCUACGGCCAUGCCUCCCUGAACAAGCCCGAUCCUGUCUGAUCUCGUAAGCUAAGUAGGGUCGAGCCUGGUUAGUACUUGAAUGGGAGAUCACCUAGGAAGAUCAGGUGCUGUAGGUG